rnacentral:tRNA from 1 species
GGGCCGGUAGCUCAGUUGGUAGAGCACUGGACUUUUAAUCCAGGUGUCCUGGGUUCGAUCCCCAGCCGGCUCACCA